UACGUAGGGACCAAGCGUUGUUCGGAUUUACUGGGCGUAAAGGGCGCGUAGGCGGCUUAACAAGUCACUUGUGAAAUCUCCGGGCCUAACUCGGAACGGUCAAGUGAUACUGUCGGACUAGAGUACAGAAGGGGCAACUGGAAUUCUCGGGUGUAGCGGUGAAAUGCGUAGAUAUCGAGAGGAACACCUGCGGCGAAGGCGGGUUGCUGGGCUGAUACUGACGCUGAGGCGCGAAAGCCAGGGGAGCGAACGGG
rnacentral:rRNA from 1 species